AACGAACGCUGGCGGCGUGCCUAACACAUGCAAGUCGAACGAAAAGUUCGGGUCUAGUGGCGCACGGGGGCGUAACGCGUGGGAACCGGCACUUAGGUUCGGAAUAACUCUCCGAAAGGGGUGAUAAUACGGGAUAAGGUCUUCGGACGCAAGAUUUAUCGCCUUUGGUUGGGCCCGCGUGGGAUUCGGUGGUUGUUAGGGUAAAAGCUCACUAAGGCGACGAUCAAUAGCUGGGCUGAGAGAAUGAUCACCCACACUGGGAGUGAGACACGGCCCAGACUCCUACGGGAGGCAGCAGUGGGGAAUAUAGCACCGCGGGCGAAAGGCUGAUCCUGCACUGCCGGGUGAGUGCUGUAGGCCUUAGGGAUGUAAUGCUCUUUUACCCGGGCUGGUCAUGACAGUACCGGGAGAAUAAGCUCCGGCUAACUACGUG
rnacentral:rRNA from 1 species